AGAGUUUGAUCAUGGCUCAGGACGAACGCUGGCGGCGUGCCUAAUACAUGCAAGUCGAGCGAGCGGAACUAACAGAUUUACUUCUGUAAUGACGUUAGGAAAGCGAGCGGCGGAUGGGUGAGUAACACGUGGGGAACCUGCCCCAUAGUCUGGGAUACCACUUGGAAACAGGUGCUAAUACCGGAUAAGAAAGCAGAUCGCAUGAUCAGCUUUUAAAAGGCGGCGUAAGCUGUCGCUAUGGGAUGGCCCCGCGGUGCAUUAGCUAGUUGGUAAGGUAAAGGCUUACCAAGGCGAUGAUGCAUAGCCGAGUUGAGGGACUGAUCGGCCACAUUGGGACUGAGACACGGCCCAAACUCCUACGGGAGGCAGCAGUAGGGAAUCUUCCACAAUGGACGCAAGUCUGAUGGAGCAACGCCGCGUGAGUGAAGAAGGUUUUCGGAUCGUAAAGCUCUGUUGUUGGUGAAGAAGGAUAGAGGUAGUAACUGGCCUUUAUUUGACGGUAAUCAACCAGAAAGUCACGGCUAACUACGUGCCAGCAGCCGCGGUAAUACGUAGGUGGCAAGCGUUGUCCGGAUUUAUUGGGCGUAAAGCGAGCGCAGGCGGAAGAAUAAGUCUGAUGUGAAAGCCCUCGGCUUAACCGAGGAACUGCAUCGGAAACUGUUUUUCUUGAGUGCAGAAGAGGAGAGUGGAACUCCAUGUGUAGCGGUGGAAUGCGUAGAUAUAUGGAAGAACACCAGUGGCGAAGGCGGCUCUCUGGUCUGCAACUGACGCUGAGGCUCGAAAGCAUGGGUAGCGAACAGGAUUAGAUACCCUGGUAGUCCAUGCCGUAAACGAUGAGUGCUAAGUGUUGGGAGGUUUCCGCCUCUCAGUGCUGCAGCUAACGCAUUAAGCACUCCGCCUGGGGAGUACGACCGCAAGGUUGAAACUCAAAGGAAUUGACGGGGGCCCGCACAAGCGGUGGAGCAUGUGGUUUAAUUCGAAGCAACGCGAAGAACCUUACCAGGUCUUGACAUCUAGUGCCAUUUGUAGAGAUACAAAGUUCCCUUCGGGGACGCUAAGACAGGUGGUGCAUGGCUGUCGUCAGCUCGUGUCGUGAGAUGUUGGGUUAAGUCCCGCAACGAGCGCAACCCUUGUUAUUAGUUGCCAGCAUUAAGUUGGGCACUCUAAUGAGACUGCCGGUGACAAACCGGAGGAAGGUGGGGAUGACGUCAAGUCAUCAUGCCCCUUAUGACCUGGGCUACACACGUGCUACAAUGGGCAGUACAACGAGAAGCGAGCCUGCGAAGGCAAGCGAAUCUCUGAAAGCUGUUCUCAGUUCGGACUGCAGUCUGCAACUCGACUGCACGAAGCUGGAAUCGCUAGUAAUCGCGGAUCAGCACGCCGCGGUGAAUACGUUCCCGGGCCUUGUACACACCGCCCGUCACACCAUGGGAGUCUGCAAUGCCCAAAGCCGGUGGCCUAACCUUCGGGAAGGAGCCGUCUAAGGCAGGGCAGAUGACUGGGGUGAAGUCGUAACAAGGUAGCCGUAGGAGAACCUGCGGCUGGAUCACCUCCUU
rnacentral:rRNA from 1 species